UGUUAAAACUUUCAUCCAUUUUUACUAUUAAAAACUAGCAUGGCUGAAAGAAUAAAUAGAUAGUUACACGUGACGUGCCACGUGUAUCUUAUUCUAACCUAUAUGGACUAGUUUUUAAAAGUAGAAAUGGAUGGAAUUUUUAACA
rfam:Gossypium raimondii Chr01_contig_123, whole genome shotgun sequence.